rnacentral:rRNA from 1 species
UUCUGUGGCCUCCGGCCUCGGCAUCGGUCNGAUCCCAUACCGAACUCGGAAGUUAAGCUUCUUGGAGCCGAUGGUACUGCCAGGGCAACCUGGUGGGAGAGUAGGACGCCGCCGGGA